rnacentral:rRNA from 1 species
UUAGAGUUUGAUCAUGGCUCAGAUUGAACGCUGGCGGCAGGCCUAACACAUGCAAGUCGAGCGGAUGACGGGAGCUUGCUCCUUGAUUCAGCGGCGGACGGGUGAGUAAUGCCUAGGAAUCUGCCUGGUAGUGGGGGACAACGUUUCGAAAGGAACGCUAAUACCGCAUACGUCCUACGGGAGAAAGCAGGGGACCUUCGGGCCUUGCGCUAUCAGAUGAGCCUAGGUCGGAUUAGCUAGUUGGUGGGGUAAUGGCUCACCAAGGCGACGAUCCGUAACUGGUCUGAGAGGAUGAUCAGUCACACUGGAACUGAGACACGGUCCAGACUCCUACGGGAGGCAGCAGUGGGGAAUAUUGGACAAUGGGCGAAAGCCUGAUCCAGCCAUGCCGCGUGUGUGAAGAAGGUCUUCGGAUUGUAAAGCACUUUAAGUUGGGAGGAAGGGCAAGUAAAGCUAAUACCUUGCUGUUUUGACGUUACCGACAGAAUAAGCACCGGCUAACUCUGUGCCAGCAGCCGCGG